UACGUAGGGAGCAAGCGUUGUUCGGAUUUACUGGGCGUAAAGGGCGCGUAGGCGGCAUGUUAAGUCAGCUGUGAAAUCUCCGAGCUUAACUCGGAACGGUCAGCUGAUACUGAUGUGCUAGAGUGCGGAAGGGGCAAUCGGAAUUCUUGGUGUAGCGGUGAAAUGCGUAGAUAUCAAGAGGAACACCUGAGGUGAAGACGGGUUGCUGGGCCGACACUGACGCUGAGUGCGCGAAAGCCAGGGGAGCAAACGGG
rnacentral:rRNA from 1 species